AUGGAGAACACCGAUUUCUGUUUGUCUAAGAAGAUUGAGAAGAGUGUCUGCAACGGCAAUGGCAUUUCUGAUUUGUAUAGCGAGCUGAGCAGGAACUUUUCUGAACCGAAGGCGCAGACAUUGAUGAAAAAUGAUUCACAUCAGGGAGGGAAACACACAAUGACAAUCCCUCGGAUUAUUCUCACUCAUCCCUCUACCUCGGAUGAAGAUGUGGAGCUUUUGACACAGAUCCCCAGCAGAGAGACUUUACAUGACUCUGAAAUUCAUGACACACACUCACACUGUUUUGACAGCGCUUUCUACCCACCUUGACCAGUGAGUAGGGGGACAUAAAUGAAUAGACAUAGACUGUUAUAACCCGGCUCUUUUCUUUUGUAAUGUUACUUUCCAAACUGCUGGAAUGAUUUACAUGCAUAAUGUAGUGAUAUUAGAGUUUAUUUUUAUUACUAAAACCACAGAGUUUUCCCUGUACAACUCAAUAGAACAGAGACUGGAGAUCAUGAUAAGAAUGCCCAAAUGAAUUACUGUACAUGUCGUAAUAUGAAAUACAAUCAAUUAAACAAUGAAUGCUGCUGGCUACCUCUACUUCUCACCGCUGUGCUGUAAAUAAUGGAUGUGCUGUAAAUAAUGGAUGUGCUGGCUGAAAUAGUGUCACCGCCCAUGACAGUGUGAAGCACUCAAAGCUUUUAUAGUGUGUACUGAGAUAUAAUGCCACACUGCGGAACACCAUGCCGUCCGCUUCCUGCAGAGUCCUGAUGCAGAAUUAACUUAAUUCCCUCUCACAACAUCCAGAUUGAUGGGAUUACACACUCUGCCUUUUGAAAAGAGAAAAACAGAACAUCUUGCUUAUCAUUACCUGCUUUGUGUUGUUUCACAGCUCUUUCAU